rnacentral:rRNA from 1 species
CGCGUAGGUAUUUAUCCAGGGGUGGGGGACAACCGCGGGAAACUGCGGCUAAUACCGCAUGACAACCUUUGCUGAGAGGUAAGGGUUCAAAGCCUUUCGGGGCGCCUUUGGCGAAGCCUGCGUCCGAUUAGCUUGUUGGUGGGGUAAAGGCCUACCAAGGCUGCGAUCGGUAGCUGGUCUGAGAGGAUGAUCAGCCACACUGGGACUGAGACACGGCCCAGACUCCUACGGGAGGCAGCAGUGGGGAAUAUUGGACAAUGGGCGCAAGCCUGAUCCAGCAAUGCCGCGUGGGUGAAGAAG